UACGGAGGGUGCAAACGUUGCUCGGAAUCAUUGGGCGUAAAGCGCACGUAGGCGGCUCGUUAAGUCGGAUGUGAAAGCCCUGGGCUCAACCCAGGAAGUGCAUACGAAACUGGCGAGCUUGAGUAUGGAAGAGGGUCGCGGAAUUCCCGGUGUAGAGGUGAAAUUCGUAGAUAUCGGGAGGAACACCAGCGGCGAAGGCGGCGACCUGGGCCAAUACUGACGCUGAGGUGCGAAAGCGUGGGGAGCAAACAGG
rnacentral:rRNA from 1 species